UACGUAGGGUGCAAGCGUUGUCCGGAAUUAUUGGGCGUAAAGAGCUCGUAGGCGGUCUGUCGCGUCUGACUGUGAAAACUCAGGGCUUAACCCUGAGCUUGCAGUGGGUACGGGCAGACUAGAGUGCGGUAGGGGAGACUGGAAUUCCUGGUGUAGCGGUGAAAUGCGCAGAUAUCAGGAGGAACACCGGUGGCGAAGGCGGGUCUCUGGGACGGUACUGACGCU
rnacentral:rRNA from 1 species